rnacentral:misc_RNA from 1 species
GAUGAAGAACGCAGCGAAAUGCGAUAAGUAAUGUGAAUUGCAGAACUCAGUGAAUCAUCGAAUCUUUGAACGCACAUUGCGCCCCCUGGUAUUCCGGGGGGCAUGCCUGUCCGAGCGUCAUUGCUGCCCUCAAGCACGGCUUGUGUGUUGGGCCUCCGUCCUCCUCCCGGGGGACGGGCCCGAAAGGCAGCGGCGGCACCGCGUCCGGUCCUCGAGCGUAUGGGGCUUCGUCACCCGCUCUUGUAGGCCCGGCCGGCGCUUGCCGACACAUCAAUCUUUUUUCCAGGUUGACCUCGGAUCAGGUAGGGAUACCCGCUGAACUUAAGCAUAUCAAUAAGCGGAGGA